rnacentral:rRNA from 1 species
CAACAGCGUAUGUUAAAGUUGUUGCAGUUAAAAAGCUCGUAGUUGGACUUCUGACGUGGGACUGCGCCCCGUUCCUUUUGGGUACGUUGGGUGCGGACUUGUGUCUUCCUCUCGUAGUUGGUUGGUGCACUUAACUGGGUGCCUUCUGAAUGUGGGACCUUCACUUUGAAAAAAUUAAGAGUGUUCAAAGCAGGCAUUGGCUUGAAUGCAUUAGCAUGGAAUAAUAGAACAUCGAUAGGACUUUGGUUCUAUUUUGUUGGUUUCUAGGACCGAAGCAAUGAUUAAUAGGGACAGUUGGGGGCGAUUAGCAUUUAAUUGUCAGAGGUGAAAUUCUUGGAUUUAUGAAAGACUAACUACUGCGAAAGCAUUUGCCAAGGAUGUUUUCUAUUAAUCAAGAACGAAAGUU